AAGCUCGUAGUUGAAUUUCGGAAUUUGUCGGUUGGUCGGGCUUCACUGUCCGCACUGGCCUGAUGAAUUCCUACCUUCUGAAUAACCAGCAUGCUAUUAAUUUAGUGCGUUGGGGAAGCAGAGCUAUUACCUUGAAAAAAUUAGAGUGCUUAAAGCAGGCUCACGCUUGAAUAGAUUAGCAUGGAAUAAUAAAAUAGGACGGCUUGGUUCUAUUUUAUUGGUUUCUAGGAUCACCGUAAUGAUUAAUAGGGAUAGUUGGG
rnacentral:rRNA from 1 species